rnacentral:rRNA from 1 species
GUAGGUGGCAAGCGUUGUCCGGAAUUAUUGGGCGUAAAGCGCGCGCAGGCGGUUCUUUAAGUCUGAUGUGAAAGCCCACGGCUCAACCGUGGAGGGUCAUUGGAAACUGGAGAACUUGAGUACAGAAGAGGAAAGCGGAAUUCCACGUGUAGCGGUGAAAUGCGUAGAGAUGUGGAGGAACACCAGUGGCGAAGGCGGCUUUCUGGUCUGUAACUGACGCUGAGGCGCGAAAGCGUGGGGAGCAAACAGGGAUUAGAUACCCUGGUAGUCCACGCCGUAAACGAUGAGUGCUAAGUGUUAGGGGGGUUUCCGCCCCCUUAGUGCUGCAGCUAACGCAUUAAGCACUCCGCCUGGGGAUACGGCCGCAAGGCUAA